rnacentral:rRNA from 1 species
CCUACGGGUGGCAGCAGUGGGGAAUAUUGCACAAUGGGGGAAACCCUGAUGCAGCGACGCCGCGUGAGUGAAGAAGUAUCUCGGUAUGUAAAGCUCUAUCAGCAGGGAAGAAAAUGACGGUACCUGACUAAGAAGCCCCGGCUAACUACGUGCCAGCAGCCGCGGUAAUACGUAGGGGGCAAGCGUUAUCCGGAUUUACUGGGUGUAACGGGAGCGUAGACGGCGCUGCAAGUCCGGAGUGAAAGCCCAUGGCUUAACCAUGGUACUGCUCUGGAAACUGUGGAGCUUGAGUGAAGUAGAGGCAGGCGGAAUUCCUAGUGUAGCGGUGAAAUGCGUAGAUAUUAGGAGGAACACCAGUGGCGAAGGCGGCUUACUGGACUGUAACUGACACUGAGGCACGAAAGCGUGGGGAGCAAACAGGAUUAGAUACCCCAGUAGUC